AUUGAACGCUGGCGGCAGGCUUAACACAUGCAAGUCGAGCGGGGUGAUGGUGCUUGCACUAUCACUUAGCGGCGGACGGGUGAGUAAUGCUUAGGAAUCUGCCUAUUAGUGGGGGACAACAUCUCGAAAGGGAUGCUAAUACCGCAUACGUCCUACGGGAGAAAGCAGGGGAUCGCUUGUGACCUUGCGCUAAUAGAUGAGCCUAAGUCGGAUUAGCUAGUUGGUGGGGUAAAGGCCUACCAAGGCGACGAUCUGUAGCGGGUCUGAGAGGAUGAUCCGCCACACUGGGACUGAGACACGGCCCAGACUCCUACGGGAGGCAGCAGUGGGGGAUAUUGGACAAUGGGGGGAACCCUGAUCCAGCCAUGCCGCGUGUGUGAAGAAGGCCUUAUGGUUGUAAAGCACUUUAAGCGAGGAGGAGGCUCUUUUGGUUAAUACCCAAGAUGAGUGGACGUUACUCGCAGAAUAAGCACCGGCUAACUCUGUGCCAGCAGCCGCCGCGG
rnacentral:rRNA from 1 species